CUUUCGGGGCUUAUUGCUCGAGAACGCGCGAUCGGACGACAAUACGGUUUGCACCGCGACGUGUUAUUUGGGCAAGAGAAUGUUAUCAUGUGUUUCAAAUUUUUCUAUCGCACACCUGGAAUCGCACCUUUCCGUCGCUUUUGAAUCUUUCGGGGCUUGUUACUUGAGAACGCGUAAUCGGAUGGGAGUACAGUUUGCACCGUGAUGUCUUAUUUGGUUUGGAAAAUAAUAUCAUACAUUUCUCGAAGUGGAGAGGAUUUUCUUUAAAUCAAUUUUAUAUCCAAAGUUUAGAAAAUUUGCUUUUUUAGUUGAUAUAAGUUUUUUUUUUAAUCAGGUUGAUGAUAAACUAUUUUAAUUGUUCUAAUGUUUUAGUAUUUUAAUGUAUUAAUGGUUUUAAUGGUUUUAAUGACAAUAUCGUCAUUUUAUUGUGUGGUUUAGCUUUUUUUUCCGUAGGAUGCCGUGAAAACUGAGGGGCCAAACGGUUACGACGAGCAGAGUCUGCACUAUUUGUUUAUUACGGUGAACAAGGACGAAUAAUGUACUGCACAAACAGAUUUUUGUAAGUUUGAAGACAGUAGAGCUGUUGCAGGAGCAGGUUGGAGAGGGUUUACGCUUUUAUUUCUGCAUAAACAAUGUGCCGAUUUUCGUGAAAGUUAGCAACUUUCCCGACCUAUGUUUUUCCGGUGUUGGGCGCGGAGGAAGAAAGUAUUAUCUUCUCCCAAGGAGAGGUAUAUGAACAUGUUGAUAGUUUGAGGUGGCAUUCUCUGAGAUUUGUCUAAGUUAUUUUGCGAUUUGUUCGACGUGUACGGCAUUAUUAUCUGGCAGGAUUUCAUGUUCUAUUGCACCAUGUGUCUUACCAACUCGUUUUUUAAAAACGUGAAAGAGGGGGUUGUGCAGAACAUAAUAUAUCUGAGGAAUCACCCGAAUAUCUUGCUCUGGACAGGCGAUUAUUAUGUGAUACUGCAUGGGAAUUGGUACGGCACGGGCUAAGGUGUACAAGACGGAUUAUGUGUGAAGCUUUACAUAAACUUGAUAGAGAAGGAAGUGGAGAUACUGAAUCCCAUAAGGCCAUUCCUUGUAUUUAGUCCUGGCAACGGAGCGUACGAGGAAACGUACAAUUACACCGGAGUAGUUCUAUACUCAAAUCUCUACGGUGACGGUAACGUAUCAUCAAAUUGCAAUUGAUAUUAAUAUUCAUAAUUAAUAUAGGAUCUCGCUCCAAAUAACAACAAAUUUCAUAACUUGAAACUGUGCGUUCUUUAGAAACAUCGGAAGGUUUGGUAAAGUAGAAAUAGGAAAAGUAGAAAAUAAUGGAAAGUGUAAUUUUUUGUUUAAACUUCGUUUCUAAUUAUGCAGUUGUUAAUUUUGUACAAUCUUUGCAGUCACAGCGUUAAAGAUUUUUUUUUAGUUCACUAUUAUAAUUAUCUCAGAAAAUAGAUGGGACGUGACUCAGUACCCCAGAACGAGAUUCUGUUUUGUAUACGGAUUUCAAUCUUGGCCGUCGAUAUACACGAUAACAACCGGUAUGGAAAGCGCGAAGGACUUUAGUACAGAUAGCGAUUUCGUGAAAUAUUGGCAACAUCUGCAAUUCGGCAAUGAAUUCAUCAAAAGAUGCUGAUCUCGCAGAACCUCAUUACACCGCAAAGUAACAACAGUUUCCGAGAUUUCGCAAGUUACGUGUAUCUCAGUCAGAUCAAUCAGGCAGUUUCUGUAAAAGUAGAAACGGAAGGGUACAGGUAACUCAAAUCAGAAGUAAAUUUCAUAGGAUUAAGGUAUGACAAUGGGACCUCUGUAGUUGAACGACGUGUGGCAAGCGCUUUCAUGAUCUCUAUAGGUCCUCUAGAUAUCGAAGGUCGAUGGAAAAUACUUCAUUACUAUACUAAGGACUUCUUCACAACCAUUAUCGCGCUUGAUGAGCGAACUCCAAUGAGCUUAUAAUAUACGUCGUAUCUAACCAGUUGUUCUGGUUAACAAUUGUUAGGUCGAUAUUUGCAGUUACAAUUGGAAAUCUAUGACGCCUGUACACACUAAAUCCUAUCAUAAUAUCAUAGUACCACCAAAGAACGCCAUUUAAAUCUCAACCUUCUGACUCUCUCUUAAGCGGGUUGUGACUCGUUGGAAUCCGUCAAGAAAUCUUGCAUGGUUACUUUAUCGUUCACGGAUGAAUCCAAAUUUCCAAUUGCACCGGUUAAUUAGAUCUAUUUCACCGCGUUAAAAAACGUGGAUAUAGUAAUAGCCAAUGUCACUAUAAGAAUCGAUGUUUAUUUACCUGGGAAACUUUUCAAUUAUCCGGAUUUCAAGCUCGUAUUAACGACAGACAAUAUAGCGCUGUUUGUGUGGUUAGAAAUGGGCAGCAUUUUCUCCGAAAAAGGCUUUCACAUGUUCGAGCAAUAGAAAG